rnacentral:rRNA from 1 species
AUGACGGCCAGACUCCGCCGCCACCCCCACUCUCCGGUGGUGCCGCCGUCGGACGACGACUUGCUCUCCGGAAUCCUCCUCCGCCUCCCACCUCAGCCCUUCUCCCUCCCGCGCGCCUCCCUGGUCUGCAAACGCUGGGGAGGCCUCGUCUCUGACCCCCGAUUCCUCCACCGCUUCCGCCGUCACCACCGCCGCAACCAUCCCAUCCUCGGUUCCUUCGUUGAGAAUGGGUUAUAUAUAUCCUUCGUACUAGCUCUUGACCCCCCCAUCGUGUUCCCGUCAGGCGAUUCUCUUUGCAGGGCGACGGCGGCGACGGCUACAGCCUCCUCAACUGCCGCCAUGGCCUCGUCCUCAUCUUCCUCCUAA